rnacentral:rRNA from 1 species
GAUGAACGCUGGCGGCGUGCCUAAUACAUGCAAGUCGAGCGAACAGACGAGGAGCUUGCUCCUCUGACGUUAGCGGCGGAAGGGUGAGUAACACGUGGAUAACCUACCUAUAAGACUGGGAUAACUUCGGGAAACCGGAGCUAAUACCGGAUAGUAUAUUGAACCGCAUGGUUCAAUAGUGAAAGACGGUUUUGCUGUCACUUAUAGAUGGAUCCGCGCCGCAUUAGCUAGUUGGUAAGGUAACGGCUUACCAAGGCAACGAUGCGUAGCCGACCUGAGAGGGUGAUCGGCCACACUGGAACUGAGACACGGUCCAGACUCCUACGGGAGGCAGCAGUAGGGAAUCUUCCGCAAUGGGCGAAAGCCUGACGGAGCAACGCCGCGUGAAUGAUGAAGGUCUUCGGAUCGUAAAACUCUGUUAUUAGGGAAGAACAAAUGUGUAAGUAACUAUGCACGUCUUGACGGUACCUAAUCAGAAAGCCACGGCUAACUACGUG